CACCACCCUUUUGCUAUUUCAUUCAGGCCCAAAGGUAUGAUCAUAACUCACCUUACCAGAUUUGGGACACUAUGGAAUAAAUGUCACCUUAAUUUUGGUAGAAACAUUAAAGUAAGUCAGCACAAUUUCUAAGCAGAUGGACUUUGAGUCUAGGGUUUGCAAAAGUUACAUUCUCCUUCAUUGUUUUAGGUAGAAUAGGAAAAAGGAGUCCAGAAUGGCAGUGGCUAAAAGGCAAGGAAGGGAAAAGCCUGCGAAAAUAGAACAAAGGAAGGUCCAAGGACGGGAGUGAGGACCUCAGGUAGAACAAACAGCAGUCCCGGCUAGCCCAAUUUACAUAGGGCAGGCCCAGGGAGGAGGAAAAAACAUAUAACAAGAAGAGCAGUCUCUCUCUCUCUCUCUCUCUCUCUCUCUCUCUCUCUCUCUCCCCGCCCGCUCCCCCGCGUCUUUUGGGUCAGCAUGCCCUCACACCUCGAGGAUGUAUUUUCCUUUAUUUUCUAAAUAAAACUGAGCUGUAACAUGGAGCUGUAACACUGAGAGUUGUGAUGCACCGAGGGCUUUAACGUCGGUCACUUCAAAUUUUUCUUGUGAGGAGACAGAACCAAGUAAAUUACACACUCCCCCUGACAACUGUAAUUGUAAUCACCUACAGAGAAGCAAGUAGAACUCCUUGUUCCUUUCCUAAAGAUCUGCAAUAACAGAUUAAUAAUAGCCUCAGCCUGUGAAUCCUGUUUCUGUAUCUGAUUGACUCAGGAGUCUCCUUUGAUAACCACAUGCCUGCAGAUGGUACUGUUCUGAGAAGAUCAUCAGCCUUAUCUGAGGACCUGCACUCUGGUCCUCAUACAGCAGAGACAGCCCUUUCCACUCUGGAGGUAAGACUGGGAAAAUUUGAGUCCAGAGCCCUCUGCUGCCUCUGGGCCCACUGCCUGUCCAAACACACCUGCAGGAGGAAAGAAGGACCCUGUUACAAACAAGAGAAGAAGAGGUGGGUGACACCAAGGGGGCCCAAGUUCCUAGUCUCAAAAGACUUCAGAAGAAAGCGUCACAUUACACUUGAAAAUAUGCGGGCUACU
rnacentral:lncRNA from 1 species